rnacentral:rRNA from 1 species
GGCUACGGCCCAAACCACAUGCAGUCGUACGAGGAUACGACCAGUGCUUGCACCGCCUGAAUUAGUGCUGAACGGGCUGAGUAACACGUGAGUCACCUGCCCUUCACUCUGGGAUAACCUCGGGCAAUCGGGGCUAAUACGGGAUAUGAGUUCCUGCCGCAUGUUGUGCCAUUGGUAAAGUUUUUCGGUGAAGGAUGUGCUCGCGCCCUAUCAGUUUGUUGGGGAGGUAGUGGCUCACCAAGCCGAUUACGAGUUGCCGGCCUGAGAGGGCCACCGGGCACACUGGCACUGAGACGGCAACAAUCUAUAUACGGGAGGCAGCAGUGGGGAAUAUUGCACAAUGGGCGAAAGCCUGAUGCAGCGACGCCGCGUGAGGGAUGACGGCCUUCGGGUUGUAAACCUCUUUCAGCAGGGAAGAAGCGAAAGUGACGGUACCUGCAGAAGAAGCGCCGGCUAACUACGUGCCAGCAGCCGCGGUAAUACGUAGGGCGCAAGCGUUGUCCGGAAUUAUUGGGCGUAAAGAGCUUGUAGGUGGCUUGUCGCGUCUGCCGUGAAACCCGAGGCUCAACCUCGGGCGUGCGGUGGGUACGGGCAGGCUAGAGUGUGGUAGGGGAGACUGGAACUCCUGGUGUAGCGGUGAAAUGCGCAGAUAUCAGGAAGAAACCGAUGGCGAAGGAGGUCUCUGGGCAUUACUGACACUGAGAAGCGAAGCAUGGGGAGCGAACAGGAUUAGAUACCCUGGUAGCCAUGCCGUAACGUUGGCACUAGAUGUGGGGACAUUCCACGUUUCCGCGUCGAGCUAAGCAUUAAGUGCCCGCCUGGGAGUACGCCGCAAGCUAAACUCAAGGAUUGACGGGGCCCGCACAACGGCGGAGAUGCGGAUAAUUCGAUGCACGCGAAGAACUUACCAGGCUUGAAUGCACGGGCGACUCCGAAAUGGGGUUUCUUCGGACUGGUCACAGGUGGGCAUGGUUUCGUCAGCUCGUUCGUGAAAUUUGGGUUAAGUCCCCAACGAGCCAACCCUCGUUCAUGUUGCCAGCCCUAAUGGCGGGACUCAUGGAAAAUUCCCGGGUCAAUUCGGAGGAAGGUGGGACGACGUAAAUCAUCAGGCCCUUAUGUUUGGGCUUCAGCAUGCAAAAUGGCCGUACAAGGGUUGCAAACUUUGAGGGGGACGAAUCCCAAAAACCGGUUUAGUUCGAAUUGGGGCUGCAAUUCGACCCCUGAAGGCGGAGCCCUUGAAAUCCAAAUCACAACCUCCGGGAAAAACUUUCCGGGCUUUGAACAACCGCCGUAAAUCCCAAAAUGGGGAAACCCGGAACCUUGGCCUCCA